rnacentral:rRNA from 1 species
GAUGAACGCUAGCUACAGGCUUAACACAUGCAAGUCGCGGGGCAGCAUGGGGGUUGCUUGCAAUCCCCGAUGGCGACCGGCGGACGGGUGAGUAACGCGUAUCCAACCUGCCCUUCACCACGGGAUAACCCGGCGAAAGGCGGACUAAUACCGUAUGUUGUCCAUUGACGGCAUCCGAAUCGGACGAAAGGGGUGGCGGGGAGGGGGGGGGAUGCGUCCGAUUAGCUGGACGGCGGGGUGACGGCCCACCGUGGCGACGAUCGGUAGGGGUUCUGAGAGGAAGGUCCCCCACACUGGAACUGAGACACGGUCCAGACUCCUACGGGAGGCAGCAGUGAGGAAUAUUGGUCAAUGGGCGUAAGCCUGAACCAGCCAAGUAGCGUGCAGGAUGACGGCCCUAUGGGUUGUAAACUGCUUUUAUGCGGGGAUAAAGUGGCCCACGUGUGGGUUUUUGCAGGUACCGCAUGAAUAAGGACCGGCUAAUUCCGUG